CGGCGUGCUUAACACAUGCAAGUCGAACGGUGAAGCCAAGCUUGCUUGGUGGAUCAGUGGCGAACGGGUGAGUAACACGUGAGCAACCUGCCCUGGACUCUGGGAUAAGCGCUGGAAACGGCGUCUAAUACUGGAUAUGAGACGUGAUCGCAUGGUCGUGUUUGGAAAGAUUUUUCGGUCUGGGAUGGGCUCGCGGCCUAUCAGCUUGUUGGUGAGGUAAUGGCUCACCAAGGCGUCGACGGGUAGCCGGCCUGAGAGGGUGACCGGCCACACUGGGACUGAGACACGGCCCAGACUCCUACGGGAGGCAGCAGUGGGGAAUAUUGCACAAUGGGCGGAAGCCUGAUGCAGCAACGCCGCGUGAGGGAUGACGGCCUUCGGGUUGUAAACCUCUUUUAGCAGGGAAGAAGCGAAAGUGACGGUACCUGCAGA
rnacentral:rRNA from 1 species